GAUGAAGAACGUAGCGAAAUGAGAUACUUGGUGUGAAUUGCAGAAUCCCGUGAACCAUCGAGUCUUUGAACGCAAGUUGCGCCCGAAGCCAUUAGGCCGAGGGCACGCCUGCCUGGGCGUCACACGUCGUUGCCCCCCCAUCUACUCCUUCGGGAUUGCGGGGGGCGGAUGAUGGCCUCCCGUGCGCCUCGCCGCGCGGUUGGCAUAAAUGCCAAGUCCUCGGCGACGCACGCCACGACAAUCGGUGGUUGCGAAACCUCGGUUGCCCGUCGUGUGCGGUCGUCGCGCAUCGAGGGCUCGAAAAAAUUGCCGGGUUCCGGCUCGGCUUUCAACGCGACCCCAGGUCAGGAGGGGUUACCCGCUGAAUUUAAGCAUAUCAAUAAGCGGAGGA
rnacentral:misc_RNA from 1 species